GCAAGUGCUGACCAGGAUGCUGAGAAGCUGCCAGGGUGGCAGCGCAGGCAUUUUGAAAACAGUCUGAAGUCUCCAAAAGGUUUGGAGCCCAGUGCUUGACUCCAUCCACAAGUUCUCUUCACCACCAGAAGCACCAACCGCCCCUCACUCUCAGAUGACCCAAAGCCCUUCUCUGGGACCAGGGUGCCCACAGGAGGAGGAGGAACCCCCCACUCUGAGGGCGGCUGGGAGAGGAGCAGAGCACAGUGGCAGCUUGUCCUGCGGCCAGGGAGGAGGCUGACAGCAGGUGGCUGGUUACGCCUAUGGGACCUGCUUGGCGGGCUGGGUGGCUUUCUACAAGCUCAGCAUUGGCUGCGGCUGUGGAGCCUUCCUCACAGAGCGGUGCUGAGCGCCCUGGGCCUGCAUUUCCUUGGAGGUGGUGUCAGG
rnacentral:lncRNA from 1 species